rnacentral:rRNA from 1 species
UUGGAGGGCAAGUCUGGUGCCAGCAGCCGCGGUAAUUCCAGCUCCAAUAGCGUAUAUUAAAGUUGUUGCAGUUAAAAAGCUCGUAGUUGAAUUUCGGGGUCAGUAGGUUGGUCAUGCCACAGGUAUGUACUGGUCUCACUGAUUCCUCCUUCCUGAUGAACUGUAAUGCCAUUAAUUUGGUGUUGCAGGGAAUCUGGACUGUUACUUUGAAAAAAUUAGAGUGUUUAAAGCAGGCUAACGCCUGAAUACAUUAGCAUGGAAUAAUGAAAUAGGACGUUCGAUCCUAUUUUGUUGGUUUCUAGGAUUGACGUAAUGAUUAAUAGGGAUAGUUGGGGGCAUUAGUAUUCAAUUGUCAGAGGUGAAAUUCUUGGAUUUAUUGAAGACUAACUACUGCGAAAGCAUUUGCCAAGGAUGUUUUCAUUAAUCAAGAACGAAAGUUAGGGGAUCGAAGACGAUCAGAUACCGUCGUAGUCUUAACCAUAAACUAUGCCGACUAGGGAUCGGAUGAUGUUAAUUUUUUAAUGACUCAUUCGGCGCCUUACGGGAAACCAAAGUGUUUGGGUUC